AUCGUCUUCAGCCGUUAGUUGGUGAGCUUCCUUCACCAGCAGUUGAUCCCCGGGCAGCUAUAUUGAGGAAUGAAGUAGGAUGGUUCAAUGAGGAGGAACACAACUCAAGCGUGGUGGCAGCAAGGCUUGCAACAGAUGCAACUGAUUCAAGUCUGCCAUUGCUAAGAGGAUU